UUUUAUGGAGAGUUUGAUCCUGGCUCAGAGUGAACGCUGGCGGCGUGCCUAAUACAUGCAAGUCGAACGAUGAAGCUUCUAGCUUGCUAGAAUGCUGAUUAGUGGCGCACGGGUGAGUAACGCAUAGGUCAUGUGCCUCUUAGUUUGGGAUAGCCAUUGGAAACGAUGAUUAAUACCAGAUACUCCCUACGGGGGAAAGAUUUAUCGCUAAGAGAUCAGCCUAUGUCCUAUCAGCUUGUUGGUAAGGUAAUGGCUUACCAAGGCUAUGACGGGUAUCCGGCCUGAGAGGGUGAACGGACACACUGGAACUGAGACACGGUCCAGACUCCUACGGGAGGCAGCAGUAGGGAAUAUUGCUCAAUGGGGGAAACCCUGAAGCAGCAACGCCGCGUGGAGGAUGAAGGUUUUAGGAUUGUAAACUCCUUUUGUUAGAGAAGAUAAUGACGGUAUCUAACGAAUAAGCACCGGCUAACUCCGUGCCAGCAGCCGCGGUAAUACGGAGGGUGCAAGCGUUACUCGGAAUCACUGGGCGUAAAGAGCGCGUAGGCGGGAUAGUCAGUCAGGUGUGAAAUCCUAUGGCUUAACCAUAGAACUGCAUUUGAAACUACUAUUCUAGAGUGUGGGAGAGGUAGGUGGAAUUCUUGGUGUAGGGGUAAAAUCCGUAGAGAUCAAGAGGAAUACUCAUUGCGAAGGCGACCUGCUGGAACAUUACUGACGCUGAUUGCGCGAAAGCGUGGGGAGCAAACAGGAUUAGAUACCCUGGUAGUCCACGCCCUAAACGAUGGAUGCUAGUUGUUGGAGGGCUUAGUCUCUCCAGUAAUGCAGCUAACGCAUUAAGCAUCCCGCCUGGGGAGUACGGUCGCAAGAUUAAAACUCAAAGGAAUAGACGGGGACCCGCACAAGCGGUGGAGCAUGUGGUUUAAUUCGAAGAUACACGAAGAACCUUACCUAGGCUUGACAUUGAGAGAAUCCGCUAGAAAUAGUGGAGUGUCUGGCUUGCUAGACCUUGAAAACAGGUGCUGCACGGCUGUCGUCAGCUCGUGUCGUGAGAUGUUGGGUUAAGUCCCGCAACGAGCGCAACCCCCUUUCUUAGUUGCUAACAGGUUAUGCUGAGAACUCUAAGGAUACUGCCUCCGUAAGGAGGAGGAAGGUGGGGACGACGUCAAGUCAUCAUGGCCCUUACGCCUAGGGCUACACACGUGCUACAAUGGGGUGUACAAAGAGAAGCAAUACUGCGAAGUGGAGCCAAUCUUCAAAACACCUCUCAGUUCGGAUUGUAGGCUGCAACUCGCCUGCAUGAAGCUGGAAUCGCUAGUAAUCGCAAAUCAGCCAUGUUGCGGUGAAUACGUUCCCGGGUCUUGUACUCACCGCCCGUCACACCAUGGGAGUUGUGUUUGCCUUAAGUCAGGAUGCUAAAUUGGCUACUGCCCACGGCACACACAGCGACUGGGGUGAAGUCGUAACAAGGUAACCGUAGGUGAACCUGCGGUUGGAUCACCUCCUUUCUAGA
rnacentral:rRNA from 1 species